rnacentral:rRNA from 1 species
UACGUAGGGUCCGAGCGUUGUCCGGAAUCAUUGGGCGUAAAGGGUGCGUAGGCGGAUAAGCAAGUUAGAAGUGAAAUCCUAUAGCUCAACUAUAGUAAGCUUUUAAAACUGCUAAUCUUGAGGUAUGGAAGGGAAAGUGGAACUCCUAGUGUAGCGGUGAAAUGCGUAGAUAUUAGGAGGAACACCAGUGGCGAAGGCGGCUUUCUGGCCAUAAACUGACGCUGAGGUACGAAAGCGUGGGUAGCAAACAGG